GACGAACGCUGGCGGCGUGCUUAACACAUGCAAGUCGAGCGAUGAAGCACCUUCGGGUGUGAAUUAGCGGCGAACGGGUGAGGAACACGUGAGAAAUCUGCCUUCAACACUGGGAUAACUCCGGGAAACCGGGGCUAAUACCGGAUAUGGAACCUGCGGGCAUCCGCGGGUUUGGAAAGUUUUUCGGAAAGGGAUGGAGUCGCGGCCUAUCAGCUUGUUGGUGAGGUAACGGCUCACCAAGGCGACGACGGGUAGCCGGCCUGAGAGGGCGACCGGCCACACUGGGACUGAGACACGGCCCAGACUCCUACGGGAGGCAGCAGUGGGGAAUAUUGCACAAUGGGCGAAAGCCUGAUGCAGCGACGCCGCGUGAGGGAUGAAGGUCUUCGGAUUGUAAACCUCUUUCAGUAGGGACGAAGCGAAAGUGACGGUACCUAAAGAAGAAGCACCGGCUAACUACGUGCCAGCCGCCGCUGUAA
rnacentral:rRNA from 1 species